GCGAAAAGAACCCCGGCGAGGGGAGUGAAAAAGAACCUGAAACCGUGUACGUACAAGCAGUGGGAGCACCUUCGGGUGUGACUGCGUACCUUUUGUAUAAUGGGUCAGCGACUUAUAUUCUGUAGCAAGGUUAACCGUAUAGGGGAGCCGCAGGGAAACCGAGUCUUAACUGGGCGUUAAGUUGCAGGGUAUAGACCCGAAACCCGGUGAUCUAGCCAUGGGCAGGUUGAAGGUUGGGUAACACUAACUGGAGGACCGAACCGACUAAUGUUGAAAAAUUAGCGGAUGACUUGUGGCUGGGGGUGAAAGGCCAAUCAAACCGGGAGAUAGCUGGUUCUCCCCGAAAGCUAUUUAGGUAGCGCCUCGUGAAUUCAUCUUCGGGGGUAGAGCACUGUUUCGGCUAGGGGGUCAUCCCGACUUACCAACCCGAUGCAAACUACGAAUACCGAAGAAUGUUAUCACGGGAGACACACGGCGGGUGCUAACGUCCGUCGUGAAGAGGGAAACAACCCAGACCGCCAGCUAAGGUCCCAAAGUCAUGGUUAAGUGGGAAACGAUGUGGGAAGGCACAGACAGCCAGGAUGUUGGCUUAGAAGCAGCCAUCAUUUAAAGAAAGCGUAAUAGCUCACUGGUCGAGUCGGCCUGCGCGGAAGAUGUAACGGGGCUAAACCAUGCACCGAAGCUGCGGCAGCGACACUAUGUGUUGUUGGGUAGGGGAGCGUUCUGUAAGCCUGCGAAGGUGACCUGUGAGGGUUGCUGGAGGUAUCAGAAGUGCGAAUGCUGACAUAAGUAACGAUAAAGCGGGUGAAAAGCCCGCUCGCCGGAAGACCAAGGGUUCCUGUCCAACGUUAAUCGGGGCAGGGUGAGUCGACCCCUAAGGCGAGGCCGAAAGGCGUAGUCGAUGGGAAACAGGUUAAUAUUCCUGUACUUGGUGUUACUGCGAAGGGGGGACGGAGAAGGCUAUGUUAGCCGGGCGACGGUUGUCCCGGUUUAAGCAUGUAGGCUGGUUGUCCAGGCAAAUCCGGAUAAUCAAGGCUGAGGUGUGAUGACGAGGUACUACGGUGCUGAAGUAACAAAUGCCCUGCUUCCAGGAAAAGCCUCUAAGCAUCAGGUAACAUCAAAUCGUACCCCAAACCGACACAGGUGGUCAGGUAGAGAAUACCAAGGCGCUUGAGAGAACUCGGGUGAAGGAACUAGGCAAAAUGGUGCCGUAACUUCGGGAGAAGGCACGCUGGUGUGUAGGUGAAGUCCCUGCGGAUGGAGCUGAGACCAGUCGAAGAUACCAGCUGGCUGCAACUGUUUAUUAAAAACACAGCACUGUGCAAACACGAAAGUGGACGUAUACGGUGUGACGCCUGCCCGGUGCCGGAAGGUUAAUUGAUGGGGUUAUCCGUAAGGAGAAGCUCUUGAUCGAAGCCCCGGUAAACGGCGGCCGUAACUAUAACGGUCCUAAGGUAGCGAAAUUCCUUGUCGGGUAAGUUCCGACCUGCACGAAUGGCGUAAUGAUGGCCAGGCUGUCUCCACCCGAGACUCAGUGAAAUUGAACUCGCUGUGAAGAUGCAGUGUACCCGCGGCAAGACGGAAAGACCCCGUGAACCUUUACUAUAGCUUGACACUGAACAUUGAGCCUUGAUGUGUAGGAUAGGUGGGAGGCUUUGAAGCGUGGACGCCAGUCUGCGUGGAGCCAACCUUGAAAUACCACCCUUUAAUGUUUGAUGUUCUAACGUUGGCCCCUGACCGGGGUUGCGGACAGUGUCUGGUGGGUAGUUUGACUGGGGCGGUCUCCUCCCAAAGCGUAACGGAGGAGCACGAAGGUUAGCUAAUCCUGGUCGGACAUCAGGAGGUUAGUGCAAUGGCAUAAGCUAGCUUGACUGCGAGCGUGACGGCGCGAGCAGGUGCGAAAGCAGGUCAUAGUGAUCCGGUGGUUCUGAAUGGAAGGGCCAUCGCUCAACGGAUAAAAGGUACUCCGGGGAUAACAGGCUGAUACCGCCCAAGAGUUCAUAUCGACGGCGGUGUUUGGCACCUCGAUGUCGGCUCAUCACAUCCUGGGGCUGAAGUAGGUCCCAAGGGUAUGGCUGUUCGCCAUUUAAAGUGGUACGCGAGCUGGGUUUAGAACGUCGUGAGACAGUUCGGUCCCUAUCUGCCGUGGGCGCUGGAGAAUUGAGGGGGGCUGCUCCUAGUACGAGAGGACCGGAGUGGACGCAUCACUGGUGUUCGGGUUGUCAUGCCAAUGGCACUGCCCGGUAGCUAAAUGCGGAAGAGAUAAGUGCUGAAAGCAUCUAAGCACGAAACUUGCCCCGAGAUGAGUUCUCCCUGAGACUU
rnacentral:rRNA from 1 species